AAGAAAGUAUCACAUUUAAUUUGUCAUGAUUUUGCCCAUAGGAAAUUUGAAUCAGCUUCAAGCCUCACCCAUAAUGUUUGAAGUGGUUUAAUUUGGAUUUGGGCUCAUUUCAUAUAUAGAAAUCAUAAUUAUCCUUUAUUGACCAUCUUAUUAAUGCCACAUCACCGCCUCAUGAUAAAUCUUUCAAAGUGAAAAUCACUUGGAAAUCAUGACUUUUCAAUUCCUUCCCAAGAUGGUCCCCAGAUUUUUUUCAUUCCUCCUAGGCAACGUCUACGAUUUUCCCAUUCCCUCCUAAUAAGGGGCGGCCCAUCCUAAUGUAAUUUUGGAUUUAUUUCAAUCCUUCCUUGGCAGCACACUAAGGAUUUAUUUCCUUUCUUAUUGGCCACCCUUUAGGUUUAUUUUCUUUCUUGACGGCACCUUUAGGGCUUCCUUUCUUUUCUAUCAAGUAUCUUUGCUCUUGGCCAACGCCAACUGAGUGACGAGCCAGUGGCCUCAUCAUGAAAUAGGAUUAAGGAAACAACCAAGAGAAUCCAAAGGUCAGAGUCAGCAAGAACUAAUGUUGAAGGCACUCCAUUAAAGCAUCAUACUUCUCAUGCUCAAGAAGAAGAGGAAGAUGAAGAAGAAGAAACUGACGAUGAAGAACUUGUUUCUGUUGAUGAUGAUGAUGAUGAGAUAGAUCCGGUUGAUGAAGAUGAUAUUGAUGAUAAUUAAUUAUUUAUAAUUUUGUUUUGGACUUGUAUUGGAUUGUAAUUGUUUCACAAAUAUGAAUAUUGAUGUCAUGGGUUGUUUAUCAUUUGGUUUUUAUGUAACAUUGUUGUAAAUACUUUAGCUUUGUUAGUAACUUUAUAUUGAAUAUAUGAUAAAUAUUUCUUAGUAGAUUU